GACGAACGCUGGCGGCGUGCUUAACACAUGCAAGUCGAACGGAAAGGCCCUGCUUGCAGGGUACUCGAGUGGCGAACGGGUGAGUAACACGUGGGUGAUCUGCCCUGCACUUCGGGAUAAGCCUGGGAAACUGGGUCUAAUACCGGAUAGGAGCCAUUUUUAGUGUGAUGGUUGGAAAGUUUUUUCGGUGUAGGCUGUGCUCGCGGCAUAUAAGCUUGUUGGUGGGGUAAUGGCCUACCAAGGCGGCGACGGGUAGCCGGCCUGUGAGGGUGGCCGGCCACAUUGGGACUGAGAUACGGCCCAGACUCCUACGGGAGGGAGCAGUGGGGAAUAUUGCACAAUGGGCGCAAGCCUGAUGCAGCGACGCCGCGUGGGGGAUGACGGCCUUCGGGUUGUAAACUCCUUUCGCUAGGGACGAAGCUUUUUGUGACGGUACCUAGAUAAGAAGCACCGGCUAACUACGUG
rnacentral:rRNA from 1 species